GGGAGGAAUUCCCCGGUGGUCCACGAGCCAUAGCUUGGGAAUCUGCAAAAUUGAAAUAUGAAUCGAGAUGAGUGCUCCGAUACCAACACACUGAUACUGAUACCAGAUGCCGGACCCCCCUGCCCCCCCCCAUCCUAUGGAGUACAAUGAGGUAACACUCAGUGGCAGUGAGAGUUCAGCGCCCAGUCGGUUUCUUUCCGAGAGAGAGAGACACAUCAAAAACCGCCCUGUGUGUCACUUCCUGCACCAAAACUAAAUGGAGGACAUUAAUUUAAGAAUGGCUCUUAUGCAAGAGGCAGCGACCGCACUCACCUUUUGGAUGUUUACUUUAAAGGCAACAAAUUUGACAGUACUAACAAAUUUAACAAUUAACAAUUUUAUAUCUUUCGAGGGAGAAGACAAAGACGUCAAGACUAUCAAUAAUGUUAAUGCUAAUGUUUUGACUCGUUGCUAAUGUUUUGACAGCCGCUAUGGGCCUUAUGUGACAUGACAACCUUUCCCUGCAAAAAGUCAAACCAACCCUAGACUAUUUUACUGAACGCUUUGUUGAAGUCAACUUGCUAUAUGUUGAAGCAUCUCAUGUGUGUGGUUUCGUUCUACGAAUGAAGCUGAGAUGAGCA